rnacentral:lncRNA from 1 species
CACAGAACAGAUCUGGAGCCUGGAUCCUCAUUACAUGUCUAUAACUGCUCCUCAGAGCCCUCUCGAACCUGUAGGGAAGGGAGCGUAUCCCAGUCUCCAGACUUCCAGAACAUCUUCUCUGACCUAUUCAAACGCAGAUCCCUUUCAGGACCAUCAAUAACAUAUCCCAGGCCAUCAGUCCUCUCAAGAGCAAACUGUGUCUGGGGAUCACAAGAAAGGGACAUCAACCCCAUACUGGGUAUUUAAAGGCCACUCGCAACCUCUUUUAGAAAUCCUCUUUACCCCUCUAUGAUAGAACACAGCAUUUGGCUUUGAGCCAUCAUAUUUUUCAGAUGACUGCUGGCCCCAUAAAAGUUCAAACAAGACAUUCCUUCCAGUGUGGACCACAGCACAUUGCUGUCAUUCCACAGGACAAGCCCUCAUUUUCAGGUGGAUCACAAGCUCCGUGCUGGAGGUGGCAAAUGCAUAUCAUGUGUGUUGGGGAGCAUGAACAUCUUGACUUUUUCCCUCCUUAAAACAAUGAUCCUGCUUUCAAAAGAUAAAAAGAAAGUCAGUGUGGCUACCGGAUGAAGUGUAGACCUAGCCUGGCAGUGAAGAGGAAGCAGCCAUCAGAAACGCCUGCAGAACAGUGGUAUCCUCCCUGCCCUGGACAGAGAGGAGAGAGCACUGGCUCAAAGUAGCCCAGGCAUUAAACACACAACCUAGGCUCAAGAUGACCAAGGCCUCCCAUGGGGAAAAGCCAUCAGGGAGCUGGGAGCUUCAUUCACCUCCCAAAAUGGAGAGCAAGUUCCUUCUUCCUAAGCACCAACAGGCUUGAGCAGUUCCCUGCACCAGUUUCUGUAUCCAUCCCACCAGAAACCAGACACGAGGCAGGGAGGCCCAACCACCGGCCCAGGGGCCCUAUAUCCUGCUGCCGCAGCCAUCUCCCCUUUCAUCCCUGUGAGAGUCACCUCCCAGGUGACCCCUGGCCCCACUCAAGUUUAAACAAGGCAAGGUGUUGCUUUCAGCCCAUACCCACAGCACAUUUCAGUCCUCCCAUUCAAGGGGCCUCAGCCUCCACCCCCCACCUUCCUCUGCCCUUUAAUCCCCUCCUGGGGAAUUCAGUUAUGCAUGUAGCUUGAAAUGGGGACCACAGGCUGGGCCUCUACAAGCUGCUAAUUGAAAACCUUGUCAGAAGUGGGAGGAAGAGGCAGAGGGGGAAAAACAACAACCCUUGACAGGACCCCACUCUCAUAUUAUGAACAGCAGCAUGCCCUCCCAGAAGGGCUGCCCUUGCUCCACCUCGGCUGUGUGGGAGGCCUUCCUCCCGGCCUUGAGGACUGAGUCUCUGGGAAAUGCUGCCUACCACAUCAGAAAGGAUGCAGCCAAGGGGUCCUCCAGCCCCUGCCUGACCCUGGGGCUGCCUUGCUCUCUGAGCAUGCUGUUCCUGCUGCUUCUGGGGACAGGCUGCCUGGGUCAAGGCCUGGCUCCACUACUCUCAGCUGUGUGAUCGUGGGCAAGCGAUUCAACCUUUCUGAGCCUCAGUUUCUUCCCCUGUGAAAUGUGGAUGAGAAUUGUACCUAUUUCAGAGGGUCAUUGUGAGGAUUAAAUGUGAUUUUACAUAUAAACACUUCAUACAGUGCCUGAUACAGUAUUCAUAACUUUUAAUAUUUUGCUCUUGUUUAUAACAAUGAGAAUUCUUGAUCUUGCCAAAUUGGAGAACAGCCGAGGAUAGGGGAGAAGAAGCUGAGGUUGUCAUUCUAUUCCCAUUUCAUAAGUAAAUCUGGUACCAGAUUUACUUGGUACCAUAACUAAAUCUGGAAGCCUUUAAAUGAAAACAGACAGGGAUGCAUGCUUGUGUGAAGGUGGGGAGAGGAGGGUGGUAAGACUUCAGUGGAGGGAAGAUACAAAGAGAAUAGGGAAGGAAAGCAAUGAAGCCAAAGUUUUUCAAUCACCUAUUGUAUAACAGGCACAUUUUCGGUGCUCUCAUGACAUGUCUGCACAAUGCUAUAAGGUAGUUAUGAUCACUCCCAUUUUCCACUAAAAAUCUGAGGCUCAGAAAAUGCUUGGCUCCUAAAUGUGGCAUUGAAUUGGCUUUGAAUCCCAAAACCCCUGUCCAGGCUCUGCCUCCCACAUGCUCUGCAGUGGGGGCUCCUUCCUGCUUUUUAAAAAGGACAAGAAAUCCUCAGAUGGUGGUAUUCAUCCAGUUUUCAGGAAUUAGACACGUUUUUCUAAUACUACAUUCAUAGAAGCUUCAGAUUGGAAUAUGGGCAUCUCUCGUGUGAAAGGUCUUGAUCACCUUUUUUUUUUUUUUUUUUUUUUUGGAGAUAGGGUCUCCCUCUGUUGCUCAGGCUGGAGUGGGCUCACUGCAACCUCCGCAUCCCGGGUUCAGGUGAUUCUCCUGCCUCAGCCUCCCCAGUAGCUGGGAUUACAGGCAUGCACCACCACAGCCCAGCUAAGUUUUGUAUUUUUAGUAGAGAUGGGGUUUCAUCACAUUGGUCAGGCUGGUUUCAAACUCCCCACCUCAGAUGAUCCACCCAUCUUGGCCUCCCAAAGUGCUGGGAUUACAGGCUUGAACCACUGUGCCCAGUCUUGAUCGCCUUCUUUAUUCAGAAUAGAAGUUUCUAGUCCAGACUUUCAUGCCAAGGGUAGGUGGGAAUGUGUCUGAAGCAGUAAGUGGGAAUACUUUAAUACUUCCCUGUGAAGAGCUCUGGCUGAGUUGUUAACAUCCAGGUUAAGAAUAUAAAAAGCAAGCUAAAUGAAAACACCAUGAUUACAAUGGCAGUGACUUUAUCCAAGGACCUCCAAAAUCACUAGCAAUUAUGUGCUUUGAAGCACCUACAUUAGGAAAACUGCAAUGAUUUUGUGUCUACUGAUGAGGAUAAUGACUAAUAUAUUCUGUCAACAGACAUGACAGCUGUCUGUACAUAUUUGGAGGCAUGUAUUUUUAGAGGCUGUUACUGUACCUCCAACUAUUUUAACUACUAAAUUUUGUUGACACCAUGCAAUCCAGUAACAAGGAGGUUUACAGGGAAAGGUUAAAAUUCCUAUUUCCAGCCGUUUCUCUUCCUUACAUCAUUUUUGUUUCAUUAUUCAAUAGGACCCAUAAAUCUGCCACUCAGAUCCCAGACUAAGUGACACGCUACAGAGAAAUUGCUAAUGUCACUAGGAAACAAAAUAAAAUUGAACACUGGGUUCACAGCAUUCAGCCCUCAAAAGCGUCAUUCCUGGCCUAAGAUUCAUUCUAACACUCACACACUGACCAGAGAACUUCCAUCCGAUGAAGAACCUGGGCUUCAUUUCCUCUGCCCCCACUCCCCAUUUUCCUAAUUGGGGGCUGGGAAGAGAAGGGAGGUGGAAAGAUUUGCAAGAUUGGCUCUAAUUUUAAGACAAAAGCCAUCCCAUUAAAUCUUAACAGAUGUUUCCCAAGUUUAGAAGAUUAAGGAAGAUUUCAGCAUCAAAAAUCAAAGAAAAUACUCCAUGACCUUAAAAAAGGAUAAAACACAAAGCUCUAACAAACCCAAAGUCCACUUUGACAGCUGUCUCUGACGGAAUUGACGAGGUGCUAUUGAUGUUUGGAUUAAACCAUGCCUCUGUGAUCAAGUACUCAAACAUGGGAUAAAAGACGAAUAUAUUCUUUAAUCCUACCCACUAAUUUUGUCUGGGCCCUGAAAAGCAAUGAGUACUGAACAAAUGUUGAAAGUGGUUUCGCUUCUGUUUAUUGACAAAGCUAUUUUUAUUUCAUUAAUUUGCCACGUAUCUUAUCAGCAUUUAAACUAACACGAGGAAAUCCAUAUGAGGUACUGAACUCUCCACAAACAGAUAGCUGCAACUUCUAAAGCCACUAAAGGUAAAAUCAAUAGACAAUGAUUCUAGAAAGUGAGGAAGUUGUUACAGGAAAAUGUAAUAGAAAAAUUGUGUUCUGAUUUAUUUUUCAUUUGUCUUUUAAAAAAACAACCAAACUAUAAAAUAGCAUUGGGAAUUCUACUUUCCAGCCUGGUGAGUUUUAAAGGAAAAGAAGAAAAACUUUUUUUUUUUUUUUAAGGGAAGGGUGAAGAGGCAAUUAAGUCAUUAAUUACUGUCUUUGUCUAGCGAUGUCCAACCCAUCAAACUUGGCCUCUUCUGUCUUCAUCAAAGGUGCAGCUCACUCUACUUUACAAUAAGUACCUCUUAAUAAGACAAUCUCAUGUUUCAAAAGCUGCGCUACGAGGAAUUUAGAUGAAGAUAAAUUACAAUAACACUUAGCAGCAGACUCCAGAGUUUGACAGCCACACAGCGCCCACUAUCACCCAAGGUUAUCAAAUGAGUAGUGAGAGGUUCAGGAUACCAAGACACCACAGGGAAACAGGAUGCUGUACGCCAAGGUCAAGGGGGAUUGGGGUUAGGUGGAAGAGAGAUGAAACUGACACUAAUUCUAAGAAUUAAGGACUGUGAUCUACACCUCACUCUAAAGGAGACCAGGAGGGACACAAGUUCUUUGUAGAAGGACCCAGCAAAAACACCAGAAUAUCCUAAGAAAGUAACUGAGGAGACGGGGGUCCCAGAAGAAUUAGAUCAGCCUUAAGACCUCUUCAGUGGGAACACUAUGGGCUGGCAGGUGGUGGCCCUGCCCUCCUAACUCUUCUGGGCAGCCACCUGCCUACUCUCCCCUGCAUGCUCUGAGUUACCCAGGCCCUGCACUGGCUCCUGCCUUGGAGAAUCAGGCACAGGCUGGCUUCCUACAAGAGCAACAUCUGACACCAGCGCUGACACCUGGUGUCUGCUGUACUGCCUCCCUGUACCCAACCCCGAUCCUGCUCCAUCCCUUCAACAGCCAUGCUCUUCUCCCUUUGUCCUCACUUUGACCCUGACAUCCUGGCAUCCAUCUGCUCUGCCCCCACCUGUGUUACUAGCACGGCAGGUGUUGAGAAUGGGGUCCCUGGUCUGCACCACCACAGCUGGGAGGUUUUGCCUUGCUAAGGAGGAGGGGGAAUGACAUGCAAUGUGCAAGAGAAAGAUCUGACAUGUAUGCUCAUGAACUUCAAAAGAGCACAACGUAAUUACUUUUAUGGUUUCUAAAAUAAAAGUUAAAUUUCAAAAAAGAAAAAGAAAAAGGCCUCUCCAGUGGGUGGGAACGACUUCAGGGAGAUUGCUCAGAGGGGCUCUCCACCUCUACCCCUCCAGCAUACCUUCAGCCUCCUGAAGGCCCCCUCUCCUAGACAUAUCUUCCAGGCAUUGAGUGGCACCUCCAUGAAAGGGCCCCUCUAUUGUAUAUAUGAUUAAGUACACUAUUUUAGGGAGCUUAAUGAGCUUCCUUGAAAGAAAAAAUUCUUUUAAAAAAUUGACUCAGUAUGGCAUGCCCACAGUUUGUUUUCUCAUGUCAAGUUUCCUGUUGCUGAUCUGGAUGGAAGCAUUCAUUUCACAAGACCUUGAACCAAUUCUCCCCCAUGGCAAGGAAACAAAGCCACAACAUAUAAGGCAGAUGCACCUACAUGCAAAGGAUGAGCAGGAGCAUACAUUUUACAGCUAUUUCAGAAGACUGGACCACGCUUACAAAGGAUUCUCCCCUUUCGUACCAAUUUCCAAACAUCCAACCACAUUACAUUCUAAGAAAUGAGAAGAUUCCACUAAGAACUUGUUGAUUUCAUCCCCAGGUACUCUUCCUACAGGAUACUGGAAUUACAUAAGUACUAGUGUAGUCACAACAGCUUUAUUUUUGUGUAUUGCUAUGGAAUUUCAAAAACAAAGAAAACCACUGAUCAGUAAUUGUGACAAAACUUUUUAGCCACAGCAUUGAGAAUAAGGCCUAAUUAUUCUAUAAACACACUUUGUUUGCUCCAACGUCAAAUUAACUUGAAAUAUGUAACAGCACACCCUGAUUUGAUACGGUGUGCAGUGCUGCUCAGACUGUGUUCCACGUACCUGGCGUAAAUCUCUCUUUCUAAAGAGAUUCACUUGUACAAGUGUCUCCAUGGUGUAUGCCACACACAAAACUUGGAACCAGAGGUGCAUUUUAUUGAAAAGAAAGUUGUUUCCAAGGUGGGGGGUGUGUGUUUGUGAUCGGAUGGGUGGCUCACUCUCAUUUGUCUCUUUACACAAUAGAAACAGGGACAUAUUUUUAGGAGAAUUAACAGCUGGUGACUACAGAGAUAGUUAAAGAUAUAAUGUGAGCCAAGGAAAAUUAAGAACUACGAAGAAACUUUUUAAAUUGUUGGCAAAAAUUACCACAUGCUGAGUGAGACAGGGCUGAACCCAGAGUGAGGCCUACACCCGUCAUGUAUCGACAAGCAUGGAUUAAAUGCUUAUUCCAUUAUCAUUCCUUUAUUUAACUCUUACAUAGAGCUUAGUUCUCUAAGCAGCUUAUGAAUAUUAGCCCAUGUAUUCUUCCUAAUAAUGCUAUGUGGUAGGUACUAUUAAUAUCCUCAUUUUACAGAAGAGCAAAUAGAGGCACAGAGAGGUUAGUAAUUUGUCCAAGGUCACACAGCUAGUAAGUAGCAGAGUCUUGGAUUCACAUCUCAGCCCUCUGUCUCUUUAGUCCAUACUAUGCUAUACUGCUUCUGACAAUCAUAUAUUCUGACCCUAAUCUGGGCUCUGGGGUUACAAAACACGCUCCUUCUCUCAGGAAGCUUCUAGCCUAGAAGACAGUUAUAAUACAGGGUAGUAGAACUGUGAAAGCUGUAAGCAUAGGGUGGUCCUGGGAGGCCCCAGGAGAGACACCAAACCAGUCUUAGAAUAGCAUAUGGAUCUAUGUGGUUACAGCAUAUGUAAUAUGUGUAUGUAUACGUAGUGGGGAGUGGAUGGGAGGGUUGGUAAAGACCGUUAAGAUCUAGACCAGGGCUCCUCAAACUCUCACUCUUGACAUUUGGGGCCAGAUAAUUCUUUGUUGUGGAGGGCUGUCCUGGGGGCUGAGGAACAUCCAGCACCAUCCCUGGCCUCUACCAGCUGUUAGUAGCAUAACUCGCCUCCAGCAUGAUGACCAAAAAUGUCUCUAGACAUUGCCAAAUGUCCCCUGGGAACAAAAAUCAUCCCUGGUUGAGAACCACUGGUUUAAAGGAAGGGGUAUCCAAUCCAGACCUGAGGUAUGAGUAGUCAUUACAAGAAAAAAGAAUUGGAAGAGAGUUCCAGGCAGAGGAUACAGCACAUGCUAAAGGCCCCAAAGAGAGAGCUUGGCACUUCCUGAAAACUGAAAGUAAUGCAGUAUGAAUGGCUCUUAGAAUUAGAUACAGGGGAUUAGAAAACCGAGUCUGGAGAGUCAAGCAGGAUCAUCAUAAAAGCUCCAUACCCUCCUUUUGGGAGUUGCUCCUAAAUGUAACUGGGAGCUAUUAAAGGGAGAAUGGCUUAAUCAGACUUGCAUUUUUUUUCUUCCACACAGACAGGGAGUUAGAGAAGAACAAGACUAGAGACCAGCCAAGACACUGUUGUUUGUACUUUCUUUGCAUGUUAAUCACGUUUCCUUUUAACUAUAAACUUAUUUAAAAUUAAAUGUGUGUUCUUCAUAUAUAAAAAGUUCCUAUGUGUCAAUAAGAAAAAGAUGAUCACACUAAUAGCAAAAGAACAAACUCCAUUAUGGCAAUUCACAAAGAAGAAGUACACGAGCCCAAUACACUGUGA